UGCAAGUCGAGCGGACUAUAUCCUUCGGGAUAGGUUAGCGGCGGACGGGUGAGUAACACGUAGGCAACCUGCCUGUAAGAUCGGGAUAACUACCGGAAACGGUAGCUAAGACCGGAUAGCUGGUUUCUCCGCAUGGGGGAAUCAUGAAACAUGGGGCAACCUGUGGCUUACGGAUGGGCCUGCGGCGCAUUAGCUAGUUGGUGGGGUAAUGGCCCACCAAGGCGACGAUGCGUAGCCGACCUGAGAGGGUGAUCGGCCACACUGGGACUGAGACACGGCCCAGACUCCUACGGGAGGCAGCAGUAGGGAAUCUUCCGCAAUGGGCGCAAGCCUGACGGAGCAACGCCGCGUGAGUGAUGAAGGUUUUCGGAUCGUAAAGCUCUGUUGCCAAGGAAGAACGCCUCGGAGAGUAACUGCUCUGAGGGUGACGGUACUUGAGAAGAAAGCCCCGGCUAACUACGUGCCAGCAGCCGCGGUAAUACGUAGGGGGCAAGCGUUGUCCGGAAUUAUUGGGCGUAAAGCGCGCGCAGGCGGUCUUUUAAGUUUGGUGUUUAAGCCCGGGGCUCAACCCCGGUUCGCACUGAAAACUGGGAGACUUGAGUGCAGGAGAGGAAAGCGGAAUUCCACGUGUAGCGGUGAAAUGCGU
rnacentral:rRNA from 1 species